AAAAGUCAUUCCCUGUGUGUAGCGUGUAGGGCAGCCUUUGCCCUGGUUCCAGCAGAUGGGUUGUCUAUUCCUAGUCUAUGCAUUUCUGAAGACCCCACGGUGAAGGGCUGCAAGGAUGAAGCUCUCCCAGAGUAUCUCCAGAGUGCAGAUCCUUUGGCUGCCAGGUCACGUUCUCUCUUCCUCUCAACUGUUCUCCCGACCAUAUAAGGAGAGGCAGCUGCUGGGGGCGUCCCCAGGAUCUAAAGAUAGCGGCCCCUGCCUGGAACUCUAAAUGCCACCCUGGAGCGGGAGCUGCAAUGGCACGGUGAGUGUUUCCGGCUCCGGUGCUCCCCCUGGCCCUUUUCCCUGGAGAUUCCCUGCUCCAAGUCUUCUGGGCGCUCCAGGUUCUGUGAGGCCCCAUGAGAGCCCCAGACCCCUGGUCUCUGUAACUGUGGGGUGAGGGAAGGUGUGACCUGAAUGUUCUCCCUGACCUCCUAGUUUCCUAGUCUUGCACGUUCUUCCCAGGUUCACACUCACCACACCCACCCACUCCUGUCAUUCCCUUCCCUUUCACCCCCUCUGUCUCAUUUAGCUCCACUUUGAAAAAACUGUGGCGUCAAAUGUCCCUGGGUAGUCCCUUCCCAAAUGCCCUCAGUCUUCCCUCUCCCACCCCUAUGAAGCCCCACCUCAACUUCUCUUCAGGCAGCACGCCCGGACCCUGUGGUACGACAGGCCCAGGUAUGUGUUCAUGGAGUUUUGUGUUGAGGACAGCACUGAUGUCCACGUGCUUAUUGAGGAUCACCGCAUUGUGUUCAGGUAGUGGCCCUGCCGUCUGAGGGCCUGGCUUCCCAGGAACCUACCCCUUCUCCUAAUGUCCCCACAAGGAGUAUUCUACAUCUCCUCAGCUUUAUUGUCUCCUCAGCUGCAAGAAUGCCGAUGGAGUGGAGUUGUACAAUGAGAUUGAGUUCUAUGCCAAAGUGAACUCCAAGGACUCCCAGGAUAAGCGCUCUUCCCGCUCUAUUACUUGCUUUGUGAGGAAAUGGAAGGAAAAGGUGGCCUGGCCGCGGCUUACCAAGGAGGAUAUCAAGCCAGUGUGGCUGUCUGUGGACUUUGAUAACUGGAGAGACUGGGAAGGGGAUGAAGAGAUGGAGCUGGCUCACGUGGAACAUUAUGCAGAGCUUUUGAAGAAGGUCAGCACCAAGAGACCUCCACCUGCCAUGGAUGAUUUGGAUGAUGAUUCUGACAGUGCUGAUGCAACAAGUAAUUAACUUUCUGUGACAGCAAAGCUGGGAAGGCAGCGGUGGCUAUUUUCCAGUUGUUGUAGAAAGCUAGCGCCUAGGCCUUUGUCAGCGCUUUGGCUGUGCACCAAGUUCCUCUGAGAUCUCUGAACUUUCCUAGAAGCUCUUUAUUAAGGGUCGUCCUUCAAGCUUGUCUUCCUCCUAGGCACUUGACUAUGGCUCCACAUCAGAUGCAGGGUCGGGGAGGGGUAGACUGGUAGGGCUUCUGAUUUCUUACUGAUUGGUUUCUAAUUUCUGUGUUUAGGCCACUUGAUUAUUUGAGUGUGUGUGUAUGUGGCAAAACAAAAGCCAAAGAAGAAUGCAGAUUAUAGAAAUCUCUACUAUGUGUGCAUAUGGGGCAAAGCAAAAAGCCAAAGAAGAAACAGAUUAUAAUAAAUCUCUAGGAACUGUU
rnacentral:sRNA from 1 species